CCUACGGGAGGCAGCAGUGAGGAAUAUUGGUCAAUGGGCGGAAGCCUGAACCAGCCAAGUCGCGUGAGGGAAUAAGGCCCUACGGGUCGUAAACCUCUUUUGCCGGGGAGAAAGUGCGGGGACGUGUCCCGGCCCGGAGAGUACCCGAAGAAAAAGCAUCGGCUAACUCCGUGCCAGCAGCCGCGGUAAUACGGAGGAUGAGAGCGUUAUCCGGAUUGAAUGGGUUAAAAGGGUGCGUAGGCGGGCUGUUAAGUCAGCGGUAAAAAUUCGGGGCUCAACCCCGUCCGGCCGUUGAAACUGGGGGCCUUGAGUGGGCGAGAAGUAAGCGGAAUGCGUGGUGUAGCGGUGAAAUGCGUAGAUAUCACGCAGAACCCCAGUUGCGAAGGCAGCCGUCCGGCGCCCUACUGACGCUGAGGCACGAAAGUGCGGGGAUCGAACAGGAUUAGAUACCCCAGUAGUC
rnacentral:rRNA from 1 species